GCCUUCGUGGUGUAAUGGUCAGCACACUGAGCCGGUAUUUCAUAGGUUCGUGGUUCGAUUCCCGGCGAAGGAA
rfam:Stegodyphus mimosarum contig91051, whole genome shotgun sequence.